rnacentral:rRNA from 1 species
GAUGAACGCUGGCGGCGUGCCUAAUACAUGCAAGUCGAGCGAACAGACGAGGAGCUUGCUCCUCUGACGUUAGCGGCGGACGGGUGAGUAACACGUGGAUAACCUACCUAUAAGACUGGGAUACUUCGGGAAACCGGAGCUAAUACCGGAUAAUAUAUUGAACCGCAUGGUUCAAUAGUUAAAGACGGGUUUGCUGUUACCUAAUGAUGGAUCCGCGCCGCAUUAGCUAGUUGGUAAGGUAACGGCUUACCAAGGCAACGAUGCGUAGCCGACCUGAGAGGGUGAUCGGCCACACUGGAACUGAGACACGGUCCAGACUCCUACGGGAGGCAGCAGUAGGGAAUCUUCCGCAAUGGGCGAAAGCCUGACGGAGCAACGCCGCGUGAGUGAUGAAGGUCUUCGGAUCGUAAAACUCUGUUAUUAGGGAAGAACAAAUGUGUAAGUAACUAUGCACGUCUUGACGGUACCUAAUCAGAAAGCCACGGCUAACUACGUG